rnacentral:rRNA from 1 species
AAUCAACGCUGGCGGCGUGCCUCAGACAUGCAAGUCGAACGCGAAAGUCCCCCUCGGGGGACAAGUAGAGUGGCGCACGGGUGAGUAACACGUAGGUAAUCUACCUUCGGGUGGGGAAUAACAAUCGGAAACGGUUGCUAAUACCGCAUAAUGCAGCGGCACCUAAUGGUGACAGUUGUUAAAGCGGGGGAUCGCAAGAUCUCGCGCCUGAAGAGGAGCCUGCGGCGGAUUAGCUAGUUGGUAGGGUAAUGGCCUACCAAGGCGACGAUCCGUAGCCGGCCUGAGAGGGCGGUCGGCCACACUGACACUGACAUACGGGUCAGACUCCUACGGGAGGCAGCAGUCGGGAAUUUUGGGCAAUGGGCGAAAGCCUGACCCAGCAA